UAUGUGUGUGUGUGUGUGUGUUGUUUACAGUUCUGUUGUAGCAAGAUAAACAAAAAAAGCACUCCAUCCUGUGAGAGAUAAGUAUCAUUUAAUAAUACACAAUUUACAAAAGA